rnacentral:rRNA from 1 species
ACUGAGUGGCGGACGGGUGAGUAACGCGUGGGCAACCUGCCCCAUACAGGGGGAUAACAGCCGGAAACGGCUGCUAAUACCGCAUAAGCGCACGGGACCGCAUGGUUCUGUGUGAAAAACAAUAGUGGUAUGGGAGGGGCCCGCGUCUGAUUAGCCAGUUGGCGGGGUAGAGGCCCACCAAAGCGACGAUCAGUAGCCGGCCUGAGAGGGCGGACGGCCACAUUGGGACUGAGACACGGCCCAAACUCCUACGGGAGGCAGCAG